GCCUUCGCCGUGUAAUGAUCAGCACACUCGGCCCGUAUUCGAGAGGUCCGAGGUUCGAAUCCCGGCUAGAGCA
rnacentral:tRNA from 1 species